AUUGAACGCUGGCGGCAGGCCUAACACAUGCAAGUCGAGCGGAGCGUCGGACGGGUGAGUAAUGCCUAUGAAUCUGCCUGGUCGUGGGGGAUAACGUCCUGAAACGGGCGCUAAUACCGCAUACUAUCAGAUGAGCCUAGGUUGGAUUAGCUAUUGGGUGGGGUAAAGGCAUACCAAGGCGACGAUCCGUAACUGGUCUGCGAGGAUGAUCAGUCACACUGGAACUGAGACACGGUCAAGACGCCUACGAGGGGCAGCAGAGGGGAAUAUUGGAAAAUGGGCGACAGCCUGAUCAAGCAAUGCCGCGUGUGUGAAGAAGGUCUUCGGAUUGUAAAGCACUUUAAGUUGGGAGGCGUUACCAACAGAAUAAGCACCGGCUAACUUCGUGCCAGCAGCCGCGGUAAUAC
rnacentral:rRNA from 1 species